GAUGAGUCUGCGGACUAUCAGGUAGUAGUCAGGGUAACGACCUGACCAGCCUAUGACGGAUACGGGUUGUGAGAGCAAUAACCCGGAGAUGAUAUCUGAGACACGAUAUCAGGCCCUACGGGGCGCAGCAGGCGCGAAAACUUCACACUGUGCGAAAGCACGAUGAGGGAAUCCCAAGUGCUGGCUCGUAAGAGUCAGCUGUUUUUCUGUCUAGAAAACAGAGAGAGUAAGAGCUGGGUAAGACGGGUGCCAGCCGCCGCGGUAAUACCUGCAGCUCAAGUGGUGGCCGCUAUUAUUGGGCCUAAAACGUCCGUAGCCGGUCUAGUAAAUGCCUAGGUAAAUCGUACGGCUUAACCGUACGAAUUCUGGGUAGACUGCUGGACUUGGGACUGGGAGAGGCUAGAGGUACUCCUGGGGUAGAGGUGAAAUUCUGUAAUCCUAGGGGGACGACCAGUGGCGAAGGCGUCUAGCUAGAACAGGUCUGACGGUGAGGGACGAAGCCCUGGG
rnacentral:rRNA from 1 species